ACCGGAGCUUGCUCCACCGGAAAAGAAGAGUGGCGAACGGGUGAGUAACACGUGGGUAACCUGCCCAUCAGAAGGGGAUAACACUUGGAAACAGGUGCUAAUACCGUAUAACAAUCGAAACCGCAUGGUUUUGAUUUGAAAGGCGCUUUCGGGUGUCGCUGAUGGAUGGACCCGCGGUGCAUUAGCUAGUUGGUGAGGUAACGGCUCACCAAGGCCACGAUGCAUAGCCCGACCCUGAGAGGGUGAUCGGCCACAUUGGGACUGAGACACGGCCCAAACUCC
rnacentral:rRNA from 1 species